AGGGGGCCAUCCCGGCUUACCAACCCGAUGCAAACUGCGAAUACCGGAGAAUGUUAUCACGGGAGACACACGGCGGGUGCUAACGUCCGUCGUGAAGAGGGAAACAACCCAGACCGCCAGCUAAGGUCCCAAAGUCAUGGUUAAGUGGGAAACGAUGUGGGAAGGCCCAGACAGCCAGGAUGUUGGCUUAGAAGCAGCCAUCAUUUAAAGAAAGCGUAAUAGCUCACUGGUCGAGUCGGCCUGCGCGGAAGAUGUAACGGGGCUAAACCAUGCACCGAAGCUGCGGCAGCGACACUGUGUGUUGUUGGGUAGGGGAGCGUUCUGUAAGCCUGUGAAGGUGUGUCGUGAGGCAUGCUGGAGGUAUCAGAAGUGCGAAUGCUGACAUAAGUAACGAUAAAGCGGGUGAAAAGCCCGCUCGCCGGAAGACCAAGGGUUCCUGUCCAACGUUAAUCGGGGCAGGGUGAGUCGACCCCUAAGGCGAGGCCGAAAGGCGUAGUCGAUGGGAAACGGGUUAAUAUUCCCGUACUUGGUGUUACUGCGAAGGGGGGACGGAGAAGGCUAUGUUGGCCGGGCGACGGUUGUCCCGGUUUAAGCGUGUAGGUGUGUGUUCCAGGUAAAUCCGGUUCACUUUAACACUGAGGCGUGACGACGAGGCACUACGGUGCUGAAGCAACAAAUGCCCUGCUUCCAGGAAAAGCCUCUAAGCAUCAGGUAACAUCAAAUCGUACCCCAAACCGACACAGGUGGUCAGGUAGAGAAUACCAAGGCGCUUGAGAGAACUCGGGUGAAGGAACUAGGCAAAAUGGUGCCGUAACUUCGGGAGAAGGCACGCUGACACGUAGGUGAAGUGAUUUACUCAUGGAGCUGAAGUCAGUCGAAGAUACCAGCUGGCUGCAACUGUUUAUUAAAAACACAGCACUGUGCAAACACGAAAGUGGACGUAUACGGUGUGACGCCUGCCCGGUGCCGGAAGGUUAAUUGAUGGGGUCAGCGCAAGCGAAGCUCCUGAUCGAAGCCCCGGUAAACGGCGGCCGUAACUAUAACGGUCCUAAGGUAGCGAAAUUCCUUGUCGGGUAAGUUCCGACCUGCACGAAUGGCGUAAUGAUGGCCAGGCUGUCUCCACCCG
rnacentral:rRNA from 1 species